GAAAGAACUUGGCAUUGUUGCUGGUCUUCAAGAUCGUGUAGCACAGGUUUAUGGUGGCCUUGUUUACAUGGAUUUUAGCCAGGAGCACAUGGAGAAGCUUGGGCAUGGCUUAUAUACACCGAUGGAUAUUAAUCUUCUUCCUCCACUCUAUCUAAUUUAUGCUGAUAAUCCAAGUGAUUCUGGAAAGGUCCACAGUACAGUACGACAGAGGUGGCUUGAUGGUGACAAAUUCAUUAUAUCAUCAAUGCAAGAAGUUGCAAAGGUUGCGGAAGAAGGGAGGACAGUUUUACUCGAGAAGGAUUAUUCAAAACUUGCCGUGCUUAUGAACCGCAAUUUUGAUCUUCGCAGGAAUAUGUUUGGAGAUGAUGUUCUGGGUGAUUUAAACAUAGAAAUGGUGGAAGUAGCCCGAAGAGUAGGUGCUGCUUCAAAGUUCACAGGCAG
rnacentral:misc_RNA from 1 species